AACGAACGCUGGCGGCGUGCCUAACACAUGCAAGUCGAACGAGAAAGUUUCCUUCGGGAAAUGAGUAAAGUGGCGCAAGGGUGAGUAACACGUGAAUAAUCUGCCUUCGAAAUCGGGAUAACUUGACGAAAGUUAAGCUAAUACCGGAUAAGACCACGCUUCAUAAGAGGUGCGGUAAAAGGGGUCUUAAACCCCGUUUGAAGAUGAGUUCGCGUACCAUUAGCUUGUUGGUGAGAUAACAGCUCACCAAGGCUACGAUGGUUAGCCGGCCUGAGAGGGUGAUCGGCCACACUGGAACUGAGACACGGUCCAGACUCCUACGGGAGGCAGCAGUGGGGAAUUUUGCGCAAUGGGCGAAAGCCUGACGCAGCAACGCCGCGUGAGCGAUGAAGGCCUUCGGGUCGUAAAGCUCUGUCAAGUGGGAAGAACACAAUGACGGUACCACUAGAGGAAGCCCCGGCUAACUUCGUG
rnacentral:rRNA from 1 species